GACGACUAAUUGCCGACGCAUCAAAAUGUACUUAGUCCGUUCGCGGGUCGUUCGUUCAGUUCGUUCGCGGGUCGUAUUGAAAAAAGUGCCGAGAGAGUUACCGAAAAAAGUGUGUCAUCCAGUGUCCAGUGUAGAACAUCGUCGUGGAAGUUUUCACCGGAAAAUCCAUCAAGACGUCUUCGAGUUAUGCGAAAACGAACAGAGACCGUUUAAUCGUGGACAAAUUCUAGUGCUUUACCGCAGUGUUUCCUGUUGUGCGGUAACCAAGUAUCGGUGAUAGGUGAGUAUAACACCUCUGUAUCGUGUAAAUAAUUUCACCUUUCAAUUUUAGUCCUGGACUUAAUACCAACUUUUAAUCGGAUACUCUGGGCUUGGCAUAUAUUGAGUGUGAGUAUUUAGUAGUAAAUAAUUUGUUGAGGAUACUUGUAUUAUGGUAUUUAUAAAUAAAAAUGUUUUAUUAUUACAUGUAAA